UUCCUCUCUCUUCCCCUCCUUCCAUGCCACCUUUGAGCUUGACUUCCGCGCCUCCCUGCCGCGAUUGGCACCGUGUCUAGGCCAACACUACCAGGCGUUCAAAUUGAGCCACUCCCUCCGUCAUCUUUGUGGUCGUCUUUGUCUUCCUCUAAACUAGGUCCGCAGCCAUGGUCGCAUCCCCAUCUAGAGUCUUGGCCGCGACGGAUUGUGGAGCCGUGACAAAUCCCCUUGACGGAGAUGAGCACAAAGACUGCGAACUUCCCAAUUCAUAGCUCAACUGUGGCCGUGAGCCUUGACAGAAUGGUCCAUUGGUCUUCAGCCAUCGACUAGAUCUGGUCACUUCGUCUUCCCACCAUCAGCAUGGCUUCAUAUUUGGUCUUUAGCUUCGUCUUCCUCGAUUCGUCUUUGACUUCUCCUUCCUCUGUGCACCGUUCGUCUUCAACUUAGUCUUCCACAAUUCAUCUUCCUGUAUUUUUGUUUCUGCGCUCGUAUUGUCGCAACGGCCAAUUCUGCUCGUAGUGACCAUGGACGAGCCGCCUCGCCAGCCAUGGAC
rnacentral:lncRNA from 1 species